rnacentral:lncRNA from 9 species
GCGCCCGCCGCGCCCGGCCUGCGGGCUCCCCCGCCCCCGCCGGCCGCGCCGCCCCGCACCCGCACAUGCACCUGCCCAGCACAUGCAGACUCACUUGCUGAGAAGCCCCAAGGCCCCGCCUGCCCGCACACGCACCUGCCCCGAACCCUCCAGAUCCCACCUGCCCCCACGUUCACCAGCCCUGAACCUGCCAGGCCCCACCUGCUUGUAAUCCACUGGGCCUUGACUGAUGGGCUGAACUUGCUGUCAUCCGCACCCUCGGGGCCGCACCGGUCUCGCACCUUCCUGCUGGCGGCUGGGCGAGCGAAUGCGCUUCUGGGUGCCUUCCUUUCCCGGGAGUCCCAGCCAAAGCAGUGGAGUCCGGAAGAUUGCAAGAAAGUAGCAAAACUAUUGAAUUCGAGGUUAUCAGAAAACUGAAAGUCUGCAGACUAACAUUAGGACUGAUAAGACAUCUUUAAAACCAAAAGCCGAAACAAUUAGAAAAGAUAAUAUUUGAAGACGCCAGGCAGAAGCCAGGCCUUUUACCACCAUCUAAGUGGCUCUGGGUCCCCCGUCCCCACGGGCGCGGUGCUUCCUCGGACCCUCGCGCUGGGGCAGAGCCACGAGGCAGGCCUGCUCAGGAGCCCUGAGCCCUGUCCCGGCUCCCUGGCGGCUGGUGCACAACCCGGAUGAGCUCCCUCUGCGGCCCGAGGCGUCCCAGGGCCGUUGAGCGUGGUGGUCCUGCACUGUGGCCCACAGACCCUCGACACCCCCCUGCCCCCCACUCCCACCCCGCCCCUGACGGCCACACCCUGAGGCGUCCUCUCUUCACGCCUAACCCGUGGAACGGGGCCACCGUCACGGAAUGUCACGUCCCCGACCGUGACACCUGAGACGUUAGCGCCUAGUUUGCCAAGCGACUCUCUCCCUUGCUGGUUUUGGGAAGGUCCCUGUGGCCAGGUGCCAAGUGUGGCUGCCAGCUGCCAGCCAGGUAGAAGCGAGGUCAGAGCAGCCGCCCACGAGGACCGGGGCGCCGCCGGGGGCCCUGAGAAGUUGGGGGGGGGCUUCCUGGUCCAGCCUCCCAGGAGAGGCGGCCGGACUGAGACCUCACUCCGCCCCUGGGCCACCCUCAGCCAGAGGACCCCCGGCCCACAGACACUGUCAGAGCCCCACUGACACGCGCGCUGCUCCUGCUCCCUGAGUCUGCGGAGAUGCUGUUACAAAAGCCGUAACGAACGGGGACACAGAUCCUGGUGCCACACGGGCGCUGGCCCAUGGGUGCAGGCGGCUGCUCUGGACACAGCAGGGGCUCAGAAUCUCGCUCAGAAGGAAGCCUUCUCGUUUUAGGCUGUGGGUGCCCCGAGCUUUGGUUAGUACAUAGCCUGCUACGUGGCCCGGCUCAGCCUCCUCGGCCUCAGUGACAGCGACAUUUGACGCCCGAACAAAGUGC